AUGAACGCUAGCGACAGGCUUAACACAUGCAAGUCGAGGGGUAACAGGGUAGCAAUACCGCUGACGACCGGCGCACGGGUGAGUAACGCGUAUGCAACCUGCCUAUAACUGGGGAAUAGCUCCCCGAAAGGGGAAUUAACACCGCAUAACACUAUUGAUUCGCAUGGAUUGGUAGUUAAAUGUAGCGAUACAGGUUAUAGAUGGGCAUGCGUGACAUUAGCUAGUUGGUGAGGUAACGGCUCACCAAGGCUACGAUGUCUAGGGGUUCUGAGAGGAAGGUCCCCCCACACUGGUACUGAGACACGGACCAGACUCCUACGGGAGGCAGCAGUGAGGAAUAUUGGUCAAUGGGCGCAAGCCUGAACCAGCCAUGUCGCGUGCAGGAAGACUGCCCUAUGGGUUGUAAACUGCUUUUAUAGUAGAAGAAACACAUCUACGUGUAGAUGUCUGCCAGUAUACUAUGAAUAAGCAUCGGCUAACUCCGUGCCAGCAGCCGC
rnacentral:rRNA from 1 species